UACGGGGGGGGCAAGCGUUGUUCGGAAUUACUGGGCGUAAAGCGCGCGUAGGCGGCUUCUCAAGUCAGGGGUGAAAUCCUGGGGCUUAACCCCAGAAUUGCCUUUGAAACUGUGAAGCUAGAGUGUCGGAGGGGAUAGCGGAAUUGCUAAUGUAGAGGUGAAAUUCGUAGAUAUUAGCAGGAACACCGGUGGCGAAGGCGGCUAUCUGGACGACAACUGACGCUGAGGCGCGAAAGCGUGGGGAUCAAACAGG
rnacentral:rRNA from 1 species